GACGAACGCUGGCGGCGUGCUUAACACAUGCAAGUCGAACGGAAAGGCCCUGCUUUCAGGGUACUCGAGUGGCGAACGGGUGAGUAAAACGCGGGUGAACUGUGCUGCACAUUGGGAUAAGACUGGGAAACAAGGUGUAAUAUAGGAUAGGGGCCAUCCUUCGGCUGAGGGUUGGAAGGAUUUUUGGGGCUAGGAUGGGUUGGCGGCCUGCCUGCUUGGUGGUGGGGUAAUGGCCUACCAAGGCGGCGGCGGGUGGCCGGCCUGGGGGGGUGGACGGCCACAAUGGGACUGGGAUACGGCCCAGACUCCCUAGGGGGGCAACAGUGGGGAAUAUUUCACAAGGGGCGGGAGCCGGAUGCAGCGAAGCCGCGGUGGGGAUGACCGGCUUCGGGGUGGAAACCCGUUUCGCCAGGGACGAAGCUGUUUGUGACGGUACCGAGAUAAGAAGCACCGGCUAACUACGUG
rnacentral:rRNA from 1 species